UCGUCGGGCAAUAGACCGCGCCGCUCGAACUGCCAGCACAACUGGUGGCACUGCUAAGAGUAUCCUACGACUUCCACAUCGCUGGUAGCGGGUUAUACACAAUGAUGGUGACUACUUUGAAGGCUUUUAUGGCAGCUCAUACUCUCUACAGAAAUAUGGCGAUCGGAAAUGGACUUGCUGGAAGCUGAUUUCGAGGAAUAUGUACUGGACAUCGAGGCUGACCUAGCAGAAGAACUGGACCUCUUCGAGGUUAUCCCUGACGAGAUGGAUUAUUCAGAGACAGAUCUAUGGUGGAUUGACGAACUGAUGCCAGAAGAAGAUUGGUUAGCCGAUGUGAGGGAGAUGGUGGAGGACGAAGACGCUUCU